GGAUGGGAAGGCAGUCUGGUGGUGACAUCUGUCAACCUGCUGACUGCCAGGGUUGAUUGGGAUGCUCUGGUUGUCUAGGCAGGUGUCUCCUUCCUCCUGUUCCAUGGAUGACUCUCCUGAAGCCACAUGCUUUGUUGGAGAUAGCCUUCUCUGACAAAGAAUCAUCCUUGGUCAAGGGUAAACAAGUAGCUGUGCUCCUUCCUCCAACAGAAUUUCCAAACAAGCUCUCAAGAAACAACUGGAAAGCUGCACUACAGCUAGCAGUUGGAAAUCUAGUUGAAAACCAAGUCAGUCUAUAUAGUUGUGAAUUCCCUAUUCUAGAACUUAGAAUUU
ensembl:misc_RNA 7SK 7SK RNA